UGUAGACCCCGUAGCGGAGGUUUCGGGCGUCAAAAUAGGGUUCGCCCCAGAUCUACCCAAACCCUAGCUGAGUUGCAGCUCGCCUCUCGUGUCCCUCGUUUUCCUUUUCACCGAACCCCAGUACCCUUCCUCAAUUGGGGCGCUCGAUUCCUGGCUUCGCCCCGCGCCGAUCUCACCUGUUGUUUAGACAUGAAGACUUGCAAGCAGACCGCAUCGAUGGUAGCCGCCGCCACGGACGAGGCCCACAGCAAGUCGGCAGCGAAGAGCGAUGCAAUCCAAUCGAGGAAGGGGAAGAAGGCCAAGGGCAAGUUGGCCGUGAAGAGCAAUGGAACGGAGAAGCCCAAGACCCAUGCCGUUUCCGAUGUUACACGCGGGUUCGCGGUGAUGAGCGUUGCAGAGGAAAUUCCAGAGCUUGAAGUGCUCGCCCUGUACUCCUACCAGAACGCCUUCUGGAUGAACAACUACCCUGGCGUCUAUGACAGGCCGUCUGUAGAUGCCAUUCGUAAGGAAGCCGAUAAAAACUGGAAAUUCUUUAAUGAUUCGGACAAGGCCCCUUAUAUAGCAAAGGCACGUGUGAACAGAAUAAUCAUCGCCAGGGUCAACGAGUUCAAGAAGACACUGAAGUUGACGCGCCUGAUGACAAACAAGAUGAUGAAUCUGAAAAUGUGAACACGCCAGAUCUCUAAGAUGUGUUUGAAUAGGUUGGUGGAAUACCGUUGAGCAGUGUCUACCUCAUGUGAGUAUCAUGUCAUGGUUUAUAGAAACGUCUUCGUAGGCUGCUCAAUUACUAGCUGCAACCAACUCCACAACCUAAUUCUGUCUGGGCCGGCACUUGGAGGGUUCGGAUGCUCUAGUAUUCAAUAUGUGUGCUCCUGGCUAUAAAUGUUGAACUCUUUCUGCAUACUCUGAUGUUUGCUUGGUAAUGUUGAACGGCCGUUAAGUCAUUUAACUUAACUAUUAAAAACCAUAUGAUGUCAUUGUGA